UACGGAGGGUGCAAGCGUUAUCCGGAUUCACUGGGUUUAAAGGGUGCGUAGGUGGGCAGGUAAGUCAGUGGUGAAAUCUCCGGGCUUAACCCGGAAACUGCCAUUGAUACUAUUUGUCUUGAAUAUCGUGGAGGUUAGCGGAAUAUGUCAUGUAGCGGUGAAAUGCUUAGAUAUGACAUAGAACACCAAUUGCGAAGGCAGCUGGCUACACGAAUAUUGACACUGAUGCACGAAAGCGUGGGGAUCAAAC
rnacentral:rRNA from 1 species